AGUGAACGCUGGCGGUAGGCCUAACACAUGCAAGUCGAACGGCAGCACAGUAAGAGCUUGCUCUUACGGGUGGCGAGUGGCGGACGGGUGAGGAAUACAUCGGAAUCUACUUUUUCGUGGGGGAUAACGUAGGGAAACUUACGCUAAUACCGCAUACGACCUACGGGUGAAAGCAGGGGAUCUUCGGACCUUGCGCGAUUGAAUGAGCCGAUGUCGGCUUAGCUAGUUGGCGGGGUAAAGGCCCACCAAGGCGACGAUCCGUAGCUGGUCUGAGAGGAUGAUCAGCCACACUGGAACUGAGACACGGUCCAGACUCCUACGGGAGGCAGCAGUGGGGAAUAUUGGACAAUGGGCGCAAGCCUGAUCCAGCCAUACCGCGUGGGUGAAGAAGGCCUUCGGGUUGUAAAGCCCUGUUGUUGGGAAAGAAAAGCAGCAGGUUAAUACCCCGCUGUUCUGACGGUACCCAAAGAAUAAGCACCGGCUAACUUCGUG
rnacentral:rRNA from 1 species